AGGACGAACGCUGGCGGCGUGCUUAACACAUGCAAGUCGAGCGGAAAGGCCCUUCGGGGUACUCGAGCGGCGAACGGGUGAGUAACACGUGAGUAACCUGCCCCUAGCUCUGGGAUAGCUCCGGGAAACCGGGAUUAAUACCAGAUACGACCACUUUAGACAUCUGUCGUGGUGGAAAGGAUUCCGGCUAGGGAUGGGCUCGCGGCCUAUCAGCUUGUUGGUGGGGUAACGGCCUACCAAGGCGACGACGGGUAGCCGGCCUGAGAGGGCGACCGGCCACACUGGGACUGAGACACGGCCCAGACUCCUACGGGAGGCAGCAGUGGGGAUAUUGCGCAAUGGGCGAAAGCCUGACGCAGCGACGCCGCGUGGGGGAUGAAGGCCUUCGGGUUGUAAACCCCUUUCAGCAGGGACGAAGCGAAAGUGACGGUACCUGCAGAAGAAGCGCCGGCUAACUACGUGCCAGCAGCCGC
rnacentral:rRNA from 1 species